rnacentral:rRNA from 1 species
AGCUCCAAUAGCGUAUAUUAAAGUUGUUGCGGUUAAAAAGCUCGUAGUUGGAUCUCGGCGGGCAGGGGGCGGUCCGUUAUUUGACGCGACUGCCCCGUUUGACCGUGUUUUUUUGGUGGAACUCGCAGGGUGCUCUUCGCCGAGUGUCCUGUCGGGGCCAUCGGGUUUACUUUGAAAAAAUUAGAGUGCUCCAAGCAGGCAUGAUACGCCUGAAUAUCCGUGCAUGGAAUAAUGGAAUAGGACGUCGUUCCUAUUUUGUUGGUUUUAGGGAAUCGACGUAAUGAUUAAUAGGGACAGCCGGGGGCAUUAGUAUUCAGACGACAGAGGUGAAAUUCUUGGACCGUCUGGCGACUCACUGCUGCGAAAGCGUUUGCCAAGUAUGUUUUCA